CGGGUGCACUGAUCCAGCCGGGCCUUUCCCUCUGUGGAACCCCAUGGCCUUCACUGGCUGUGGUGGGGAAACAGGACUUUUACUUUGAAAAAAUUAGAGUGCUCCAGGCAGGCCUAUGCUCGAAUACAUUAGCAUGGAAUAAUAGAAUAGGACGUGUGGUUCUAUUUUGUUGGUUUCUAGGACCGCCGUAAUGAUUAAUAGGGACAGUCGGGGGCAUCAGUAUUCAAUUGUCAGAGGUGAAAUUCUUGGAUCUAUUGAAGACUAACUACUGCGAAAGCAUUUGCCAAGGAUGUUUUCAUUGAUAAGGAACGAAAGUUAGGGGAUCGAAGACGAUCAGAUACCGUCGCAGUCUUAACUAUAAACUAUGCCGACUAGGGAUCGGACGAUGUUAUUCUUUGACGCGUUCGGCACCUUUCGAGAAAUCAAAGUGCUUGGGCUCCAGGGGGAGUAUGGUCGCAAGGCUGAAACUUAAAGAAAUUGACGGAAGGGCACCACCCGGGGUGGAACCUGCGGCUUAAUUUGACUCAACACGGGGAAACUCACCAGGUCCAGACACAGUGAGGAUUGACAGAUUGAGAGCUCUUUCUUGAUUCUGUGGGUGGUGGUGCAUGGCCGUUCUUAGUUGGUGGAGUGAUUUGUCUGCUUAAUUGCGAUAACGAACGAGACCUUAACCUGCUAAAUAGCCCGUACUGCUUUGGCAGUUCGCCGGCUUCUUAGAGGGACUAUCGG
rnacentral:rRNA from 1 species